GGGCUGUUUCGCAGCCUCUUGAGUAUGGAACCUAAGGGAUACACACAUGGAAGCAGGAUCCAAGGUCAGAGACCCCAAAAGUGGCUUCCAAGAGUUGAGAGUGUGCCAAGAUCCAUCAGCGUCCCGAAGAGAAGGAUUACAGUUAGUACCUAGAUGGAGAUGGAUUAGAAGACUAACCCUCAGUCACCAGCUAGGAAAACUGUAAAGUCCCUUCCAGGGACCAACAGAGUCCUGGGGAACUUGUGAAUACAAACCCUGUUGCCUACCAGAGCUAAGUGAUUUUUGAAUGCAAACCGUGUUGGCUAGCAGCCGCAGAAGUUGGAACACCAGAAAUGUGUACAAAUUGCUUUUACG